GCGGAAGCGUCAGAUGUGUAUAAGAGACAGGUGAAUCAUCGAAUCUUUGAACGCACAUUGCGCCCGCUAGUAUCCUGGCGGGCAUGCCUGUUCGAGCGUCAUUUCAACCCUCAGGACCUCCUGGUGUUGGGGCGUUAGUAACCUAAGCCCUUAAAGUCAGUGGCGGGCUCUGUCAUAUACCGAGCGUAGUAAUCUCUCGCUUAGGGGUAUGCCGGGGCGCAGUCUACCUAUACUUUUAUCAAGUUGACCUCGGAUCAGGUAGGAAUACCCGCUGAACUUAAGCAUAUCAAUAAGCGGAGG
rnacentral:misc_RNA from 1 species